rnacentral:rRNA from 1 species
UAACUUAGGGAGAAGGGGUGCCUACGAGAGUAGGCCGCAGUGAAUAGGCUCAAGCAACUGUUUAUCAAAAACACAGGUCUCUGCUAAAGCGUAAGCUGAUGUAUAGGGGCUGACGCCUGCCCGGUGCUGGAAGGUUAAGGGGAAUAGUUAGCGCAAGCGAAGCUAUGAACUUAAGCCCCAGUAAACGGCGGCCGUAACUAUAACGGUCCUAAGGUAGCGAAAUUCCUUGUCGGGUAAGUUCCGACCCGCACGAAUGGCGUAAUGAUUUGAGCACUGUCUCGGCAAUAAAUCCGGUGAAAUUGUAGUGCAAGUGAAGAUGCUUGCUACCCGCGGUUGGACGGAAAGACCCCGUAGAGCUUUACUGUAGCUUAGCAUUGAAUUUCGGUAUUGUCUGUACAGGAUAGGUGGGAGACUUAGAAGCGAGGGCGUCAGCUUUCGUGGAGUCGUCCUUGGGAUACCACCCUGACAGUACUGGAAUUCUAACUGGAGGCCAUGAAUCUGGUCACAGGACAUUGCUAGGUGGGCAGUUUGACUGGGGCGGGCGCCUCCUAAAAGGUAACGGAGGCGCCCAAAGGUUCCCUCAGCGCGGGCGGAAAUCGCGCGUAGAGUGCAAAGGCAGAAGGGAGCCUGACUGCGACACAUACAGGUGGAGCAGGGACGAAAGUCG